CACGUAGGGCGCAAGCGUUGUCCGGAAUUAUUGGGCGUAAAGAGCUCGUAGGCGGUCUGUUGCGUCCGCUGUGAAAACCCGGGGCUUAACCCCGAGCCUGCAGUGGAUACGGGCAGACUAGAGGUAGGUAGGGGAGAAUGGAAUUCCCGGUGUAGCGGUGAAAUGCGCAGAUAUCGGGAGGAACACCGGUGGCGAAGGCGGCGCUCUGGACCGAGACUGACGCUGAGGCGCGAAAGCGUGGGGAGCAAACAGG
rnacentral:rRNA from 1 species